UACAGAGGUCUCAAGCGUUGUUCGGAUUCAUUGGGCGUAAAGGGUGCGUAGGCGGCGCGGUAAGUCGGGUGUGAAAUCUUGGAGCUUAACUCCGAAACUGCAUUCGAUACUGCCGUGCUUGAGGACUGGAGAGGAGACUGGAAUUUACGGUGUAGCGGUGAAAUGCGUAGAUAUCUGCAGGAACACCCGUGGCGAAGGCGGCCCCCUGGGCCGAACCUGACGCUGAGGCGCGAAGGCUAGGGGAGCGAACGGG
rnacentral:rRNA from 1 species